rnacentral:lncRNA from 1 species
AAAAAAUGUAUUUGAGGUUCUCUUCUGGUAAUAGUAUACUGUUAAUCUAUUAUGUCGGUUGAUUGAUUUUGUUUGUAGUUAAACGUCAAACUUGUGACAACUAUUUCAUUCAUGUGCACAAAUCUCUCGACAAAUCUGACGAAUUUGACGAGAUUGUUGGUAGUUUUACCACAUCGUACAUAUCCGGACACUGUACAACUGUACAAUUUUCGUUAGAAUAUUCUGCGGAAAACGAAUAGUAAAUCCAAUCCAAACAAGUAGAAUAACAAUGAAAUAUCCAUGCAUGUAUAAAUGCGUAAAGUAAAAAUUAUGAAGGGACAGGUAAAAAACGGG